rnacentral:lncRNA from 1 species
CUCGGCGGCUGUCCGAAUGCCUCCUGGUACCCCGGCGGCGAGCGCCACCGGGAGCGCCCUCCGACCCCACAGUCUCAGAGUGUCCUGCGCUGCGGACCCAGGACGCCCACGCAGGGCCCCUUAAGGACAGGACAGUGGCUCUAAGGUGCCUCCUGCAGGGGUGAGUGUGGGCGUUUGGGCCCGCAGAUAGCCAGCUACCAGGAGAAUGCGAGGGAGAUCCUUACUCCACCUGACUUCCGGCUUAAUGCCCCAUUCCAUCCCCUUUCCCUGUUUCCAUUUUCUUCCAUAGCACUUCCUUUUUACAAAAUCAACUUGCGUGAAGUAUAGUUGACAUAGAAUUAAAUUUGCCCUUCUGAACAUGUAUAUUUGCCGUAUAUAACCUCCACCCCAAUCAACAUAUGGAACAUUUCCAUCAUUCAAAAAGUUCCCUCAGAUAGCGCUUACCUUAAACAAACUAUAACUUAAUUCCUUAUUCUAUCUAUUUAUUCUGUCUCUUCCAUGGCCCCUAGAAUGUAGGCUCCUGGAGGCAGAAUCUUUGUUUUGUACACUGAAGUUCUCAAGUUCACAGUGCCAGGGGAAUAGUAGCUAUUGGACACACAUUUGUUGAAUAAAUAAACUCCAACACAUGAGACAAUCAAACGGAAAAUGAAAUAUUAUCAAACCACUAGAAAAAAGUAAAAGCAAAUGCUGUAGGUUGAAUUGUGUCCCACCAAAGGACGUUGAGUCCUAACCCCCAGGGCUUGUGAAUGUGAGCUUCUGUGGAAACGGGGUCUUUGCAGAUGAUCAAGUUAAGAUGAGGUCGUUAGAGUGGACCCUAAUCCGCUACGCCAGCUGUCCUUAUAAAAUGGAGAGAUUUGGGCACAAACACACAAGGAGAACGCCAUGUGAAGACAGAAGCAGAGAUCAGAUUAGGGUGAUGCAUCUGCAAGCUGGGGAGAGAGGCAUGAGCAGAUGCUCCCUCGCAGCCCUCAGAAGGAGCCAGCCCUGUGGAAACCUUGAUCUCAGACUUGCAGCUUCCAGAACCGCAGACAAGACCACUUCUUGAUCGCUCUUAGACGCAGUACCUCUGGCUUGUGGAGACUCUUCUGGUGGCUCUACGUUGGAGGAGGUCGUGGAGAGAACAUGAUCACCAGUUGACUGAGAACUGGACCUGGGCGGUCAGAGGCUCCUCACCCCUCCCCUGUGCUUGGAAUGGAUGCUAUCCUUGCUGUUCCCACAGUGGGAGCCGUCUUCAAGGAUGCAGCUCUGAGAGAGCACUGUGUUAUUGACGCCAUCUGGACGGGAUGCAUGACUGAACCCCGUUAAGGUCUCUGUCUAAACUUUCAAGAUUUGAUGGCAGUACGGAGAUCUACUCGUCUUGGCGGCCGCCCAAGACAAGCCUCGUAAAUAGGUUCCCCUGCUUAUGAAACUGCCACCUGCCAAUCUGGAGGGCUCUGCCUCGUUCCUCAGUCUCUCCUGGCCCUGCGUGUACGGGGCUGGUUUUGGGACCAACAUUCCAGCCGCUACCUUCCUCCAGAACGUGCUCCUCCUGCUGUUCCCGUCCGGGUCAGCAGUGGUAUCGAACCUGAAGUGAGUUGGCUCACCCGUCGCACAGCAAGCCAGUCUCUAACACGAGAUGUAGUGGAAGAAAGUAAGAAUUUUAUUGCUAAGCACUGAGCAAGAAGAACGGGCGGCUAAUGCUAUAAUCCCAAACUCUGAAAAGCUACAAGCGAGGGUUUUUAUUUGGGGUUUUAGGUAGGGGAGGAGGGCAUGUGGCUUUGCUGGCUGGUUUUCCUACCAGCCUGCAUCUGGCCUUGAGAGGCUGCCUGCGGGCGAGGGAGAUAAGGAACUCCACAGGGGGCUGUCCUUGGUGGAUGGUAGAUUCCAGUACCCAGCAAACUCUGGGAAGCUUCAGUUUCUUGAUAUUCUCCAGACAUCAGUUUCCCUGUAAUAGACUUCAAGGACCCGUGGCGAGUCAGAACUUUAGUGUGAGCAUGAGGCCACCAGGGCUUUAACAAUUUCUCAUUUCUCUUUGCAUGUAAAGCUCGCAGUCAAAGGUUAAAGAAACAGAUAUUUACAUAUGAGUGCUUUUGGUUUUAAUCUCAUAUAUGCUGGGUUUAAUGUAGGGGAACCCAUAUAAGGGUCAGUAACAGGAGCACCAUCAUCCAAGCUAGAAAGCCAGCAGCUCCUCCUCUCCCUUGGCUUCUGCAUCCAGUUAGCCCUGGAGUCUGUCAGCAAAAAUAUCUAGAAUCCAAGAAUUUACUUGGGGGAUGGCCCCGUGGUGCAGCAGUUAAGUGGGCACCUUCUGCUUUGGCGGCCCGGGGUUCACUGGUUCGGAUCCCGGGUGCGGACAUGGAGCCACUUGGCACGCCAUGCUGUGGUAGGUCUCCCACGUAUAAAGUGGAGGAAGAUAGGCACGGAUGUUAACUCAGGGCCAGUCUUCCUCGGCAAAAAGAGGAGGAUUGGCAGCAGUUCGCUCAAGGCUAAUCUUCCUCAAAAAAAAAAAAAAGAAAGAAAGAAAAAAAAAGAAUUUACUUGGGAAAACUUUGUUGCUCAUGCAGAUUGCAAAUGGGGAAGAUGCAGCCUCUGAAACAAACUGAAAGUAUGCUGCAUGAGGGCGAGAGAUGGCAGAGCUCCUAAAGGCACAAACCCCAAGGCACAGGGAUUGUUUUGAAAGCCCUCUGGUUGGUCAGUUCCCCUAGACAUACUAUUGUUCUAAAAUCAGUGAUAUCCAACAUCCAGCUUCCAGCCAUCGUAAGGAAGGGACGCUCAGUUUCAGGUACAAGUUGUGCUGUUCCUGAGAACAGAGGAUGUGACCACAUCCUGGUCCUGGUGUGGUCUCUUGAUUCUGUUGGGUUUUAUGUCCUGCUUAGCCACACAGAGUCUGCUACGUCUUUUGAUUUAGGGUCCUCUAUCUUUGGUUUUAACGGCACUCGUCUUCCCCUCUUGACCUCCACGGCCUCUCCCUCCUGCUGCUCUCCAUCCUCCCGGCCACUGCUACUGCUCACACCCGGCCCUGGACUCCAGCGACGGCCUCCUCUCCAGGCCCCCGGCCCCAGGGCUUCCCCUCCAGUCUUCACGGGGCCUCCAGAAUGAUUUCUAGGUCCUCCUUUAAAACUUUUUUGUAUCCUACAGAGUACUGGGUAGAAUAGUGGCCCCCUAAAACACCUCAGAAGGUGACCUUAUUUGGAAUAACGGGUUUGCAGAUGUCAUUAGGCAAGGAUCUCCGAGUGAAAUCAUCAUGGAUUUAGAGUGGGUUCUAAAUCCAAUGACUGGUGUCCAUGUCAGAAGAAGAGACAGAGACAUGAGGGCAAAGGCCAUGGGAAGAUGGAGGUAGAGAAGGGAGAGAUGUAGCCACAACCUAGGAAUGGCCGGAGCCGGGGGGAGGCACUCAUUGGAGGGGCCACAGAGCACCAUGUGGGCUGGAGGUUAGCACAGCGUUGGCACAACUUCUUAAUAGGAAAAAAAUGGAAGAAACCUAAAGACCCAUCUAUAAGAUAUUAGUUAAAUUAACUGUGAAAUAACCAUGCAUUCAAAGAGGGACUCUUUAUUCUCCUGGUUUUCAAGGCACAGGUGCCAGGCAGGCUGCAUUGUCAGCAAAGGCAGGUAAGCCGGUAGAUGCAGAGAUACAGGUAUGGCAGGUGGCAGAUGGGGGCGGGGGUUGGAUGGGUGGUGAUGGUGAGGUUGAGGAGCAUUUUGUAUACGUCAGGGACCCUGGCCCCUCCAGGCCCUCCGUCAUCAGGACUUGUCCCCAGGAGGCCUCAGGCCCCCUGGUGCUAGCCCUCCCCAGGAUGCCCCUCAGUCACUGCCCUCCCAGGCCCAAGUGUCACCUCUGAUGUGGGCUGGGCGAGCCGAGGAGUCAAAAGAAAGAUUUCUUGGACUCUCAAGGUCUGGCAGUAGUGCUGUUUUAUUCAGAGAACAGCAUGGGGACAGGACCCAUGGGCAGUGAAGAGCUGCAGUGGGUUGAAGGUAGGGCUAAAUUUAUAAGGCAUAGGUCUGUGAGUUAUUUCUGUACAACGCAAAGGAAGGAUCAUGUACAAAAGUUGUUGAAAUGGUAUCAGUACAGGUGGGGUCUGGUUAUCGUGUGGUCCUACAGCUUUAGACAUGAAUCAGGUCAGGACGUCCUAUGCUUCCCGGAAGAUGAUAUAGAUAGGGAUGUAGGCCAGGAUGCCUUGGACUUCCCUCCCUGGGGCAGCCUUGAUCCUGAUGAAUGUCCUUCAGGAAGUCUCCCAGGACUGAAGGCUCCUGGCUGUGAGCUCCCAGGGGAAGGGUCUUCUGCCAAAAACGUUGACUCUCGGGAUUAUAGCGAGUAGGGGGUGCAGGCUGCAGACUGUGGGGCAGGGAUUGGACACAGGGGCUGGACCUGAAGCUGUAUUUACACAGCGAGCCUCUUCUCCAAAUGGCUCAGAACUGUGGAGUCUUGCGCCCCACUGCCCGCCGCCUCCUGGCAUUGCCCCUGCUCUCUGGGUCUUUCCCUUCCGUCGCUCUCUACCAGCCACACAGGAAACCCCCCCCCCCCCCCCCCGGGCGCUAGGCCUCUCCCUGUGUCCCUCACCUCAGAUGGAGUCCUUAGAUGUCUCACAGACUAGGUACAUUGUCACUAGUUUUAUUUGAGAAAAGGUGAAAAAGAAAUGAAAUGAAAUGAAAAGCCCCGUGAGAAACUCAGAAACUGUCACGUGGUUUCCGGGACCCCCCCACCCCCACCCCGCUUUUCUAAGAAGUCAUUGUAGGCACAGCAGGGAGGAGCUGCAAACGCCACUCAAAAGGCAUUUCGCGGGCGGGGCUGCCAGAGCCUGCGGGAGCCAGGGAGGAGAGAGCUUGGCCUCCUUCCCGAGGGGUGGUUGCGACAACUUGAGAAGAUGGUGGCAAGAGAAAGGCUUGGGAUGCACUUCACCAUGAGUGAUGAAAUCCUGGUGACCGCUGCAUUUGUGCUGACCGCGGGCCUUGUUGUGUUUAAGCUGCCUCCGGCUUGUGCCACACUUUUGGUCCCGAUCUUUGCCUCAAAGGUCAUCGAUUACUUCUCAGAGAAGAAAAAGAGAAAAUGAACAGGAACUAUUGACAAGAAUCCUCUCUAAGCCCCUAAAGGACAGGGGUGGACCCACCUUCCUGCGGACAGGAAUGUCAUGAGACAACAUGCUAUACACGGUUGACAUUUUGAGUGUGAACAAAGUCAACUAUGGGCAAAAAAAAAAUCUAUUGAACAACAUUUAUUGAGUGCC